AGAUCAUUUCCUGCUCUGAAACAGAAGUGCCGCGGAGCACAGAACACCCAGCUGAGAGCCAGAGCCUCUUCUCACCCUGCAGGGGACAGCUGUCAGCAUGCCUCUGGCCCGUGUGCUAUGGGCAGUCGUGGUGUCCACCUGUCUUGGAUCCAGCAUGGCCCAGAAGGUCACCCAGACUCAACCAGAAAUGUCUGUGCACGAGGCAGAGACCGUGACCCUGGACUGCACGUUUGACACUCGUGUCAGUAAUUAUUAUUUGUUCUGGUACAAACAGCCUCCCAGUGGGGAGAUUGUUCUCAUUAUUCGCCAAGAAGCUAAUAAGCAAGAGAAUGCAACAAAUAAUCGCUUCUCUGUGAACUUCCAGAAGGCAGACAAAUCCUUCAGUCUCAGGAUCUCAGCCGCCCAGCUGGGGGAUGCUGCGAUGUAUUUGUGUGCUCUCAUGGAGGCCACAGUGACAGGAGCAACAGAGGGAGGUUUACAGAAACCUCAGACCUCAGCAUCUGUGCAGAGGUCGGGGUGGGAGGAGUGACUAGGGCACCAGGAACAUAGAAAAUCAUUGACUUCUCUUGGAAUAAAAGCUCCUUCUAUCCGAAUAUAAGAAACACAGAGAGAUGGAUAUCUGUAAGCUACAAUCCUUAAAAUAACAGCAAAAAUAAUAACAUAUGUAGUGUUUUCCAGUUUUACGAAGUAUCUUCAUACAUUGUGUCACAUGUAACCCUUCUCGCUUUGCAUGGUAUACGUGACAAAUCAGAAUUCCUAAGCAUGUCCUCUGCCCAGCAAAUCUUUAUAAUUUGCCUGGGAGCUCAUGCUUCCAAAAUUCAUAACGUUUUCCAUUUUGCUGGUUGGUGUUUGUUCUUUUAAUUGUCCAUCCAUGUCCAAAACUGAAUCUCUCGGAACAAGGUACCCAUUUUACAACACAGUGGAUGUGACUGUUGAAGGCGUGACCAAGGAAAGGAUCCACUGGUCCUACCAUGAACCAAAAAGUUGACCUAGACCCAUGGUACCUAGGUCAGAUGACCUAGAAAAAGGAUGGAAUGGCUUGUUAAAAGCUCAGUUAAGAAGCCAGCUCAACGGCAUCACCCUUAGUGGUUGGAAUGCCAUGUUCCCGGAAGGGAUAGUAUUCAUUAAACCAAUGGCUGAUACAUGGUGCUGUGGCUUCCUAGCUAAAUUAUGCAAAUUUAGAAAUGAAGAGCUAGAAGUAGACUAGACUCUUCUACUAUCACUCCCUGUAGCUCAUUUCCAGAAUUUGUGUUGCCCUUUCCUACAGCCCUAGGCUCUGCUGGAUUAGAGUUCCUAGGACCCUGCGGAAGAAUGCUUCCACCAGAGGAUCCAGUAAGCGUUCCACUGAACCUGCAGCUAUGACCACUGCCUACGCCAUUUCAAACUCCUUGUGCCAAAUGUCCAGCAGGCAAAGAAAGGAGGGGUAAUUGACUCUGAUUAUCAUGAAGCAUCGGGUUGUUAUUACACAAUGGGGGCAAAAAGGAAUGUGUCUGGAAUCUGUGUUUCACAUUGAGUAUUUCAUGCCCAAUAAAAACAGCAAGUGGCAGUUGUGGCUUGAAAAGGACAAAGUAAACAAGAACUGAGACCCCUGAGCAAUGAAGGCCUGGGUCCCCCUAUCAGGCA